GGGAGAACGGGGCAGUUAGGGUAGUGUGUAUGUUGGCACUAUCGAUAUUGAGAUAUGUUUUAAUGAAAUUUAAGUGUCAGAAAAAUUCAUGCUUAUGCAACCCGAAAAUCUUCAUCGUUAAAAAAAAAAUCAUUAAAAAAGUCCGAAGGGUUCAGUAAUAAAUGAAACAACAAUUUUGGCGCCUUAAAAUCGUGUCAUCAGCUUUGACAGAUUUUUUCAAUUUACGGGUUUCAGAAAUAGAAUAAAACUUUCAACCAAUAAUAUUCUUGAAGAAAAUUCUUUUCUCUUUCAAUCCGAUUUUUUAGUUUAUUAUUUCUCCUUAGAGGAGUUACUGAAAAAUCAAUUUGAUUAACGACACCUAUUCUUGAGGCAAACUGGCCUGGCAACGUUGGGGCAGUUUGCGGGUAUAACAUCUAUGUCGUCUAAUGUAAAAAUGAUGGUUACAUUUUGAAAGCUGUCACGAAAUGUGUUGCUGAGAAUCAAAAAGUGUGUGAUGUUUCCAAAGCAACCUCCAUCC